AUAACUUCGGGAAACCGGACCUAAUACCGGAUAACAUAUUGAACCGCAUGGUUCAAUAGUGAAAGGCGGCUUUGCUGUCACUUAUAGAUGGAUCCGCGCCGUAUUAGCUAGUUGGUAAGGUAACGGCUUACCAAGGCAACGAUACGUAGCCGACCUGAGAGGGUGAUCGGCCACACUGGAACUGAGACACGGUCCAGACUCCUACGGGAGGCAGCAGUAGGGAAUCUUCCGCAAUGGGCGAAAGCCUGACGGAGCAACGCCGCGUGAGUGAUGAAGGUCUUCGGAUCGUAAAACUCUGUUAUCAGGGAAGAACAAAUGUGUAAGUAACUGUGCACAUCUUGACGGUACCUGAUCAGAAAGCCACGGCUAACUACGUGCCAGCAGCCGCGGUAAUACGUAGGUGGCAAGCGUUAUCCGGAAUUAUUGGGCGUAAAGCGCGCGUAGGCGGUUUUUUAAGUCUGAUGUGAAAGCCCACGGCUCAACCGUGGAGGGUCAUUGGAAACUGGAAAACUUGAGUGCAGAAGAGGAAAGUGGAAUUCCAUGUGUAGCGGUGAAAUGCGCAGAGAUAUGGAGGAACACCAGUGGCGAAGGCGACUUUCUGGUCUGUAACUGACGCUGAUGUGCGAAAGCGUGGGGAUCAAACAGGAUUAGAUACCUGGUAGUCCACGCCGUAAACGAUGAGUGCUAAGUGUUAGGGGGUUUCCGCCCCUUAGUGCUGCAGCUAACGCAUUAAGCACUCCGCCUGGGGAGUACGACCGCAAGGUUGAAACUCAAAGGAAUUGACGGGGACCCGCACAAGCGGUGGAGCAUGUGGUUUAAUUCGAAGCAACGCGAAGAACCUUACCAAAUCUUGACAUCCUUUGACCGCUCUAGAGAUAGAGUCUUCCCCUUCGGGGGACAAAGUGACAGGUGGUGCAUGGUUGUCGUCAGCUCGUGUCGUGAGAUGUUGGGUUAAGUCCCGCAACGAGCGCAACCCUUAAGCUUAGUUGCCAUCAUUAAGUUGGGCACUCUAAGUUGACUGCCGGUGACAAACCGGAGGAAGGUGGGGAUGACGUCAAAUCAUCAUGCCCCUUAUGAUUUGGGCUACACACGUGCUACAAUGGACAAUACAAAGGGCAGCUAAACCGCGAGGUCAAGCAAAUCCCAUAAAGUUGUUCUCAGUUCGGAUUGUAGUCUGCAACUCGACUACAUGAAGCUGGAAUCGCUAGUAAUCGUAGAUCAGCAUAUACGGUGAAUACGUUCCCGGGUCUUGUACCCACGUCCCGUCACGUAGAGUAUAAUCCGGGUCAA
rnacentral:rRNA from 1 species